UAGGGAAUCUUCCACAAUGGGCGAAAGCCUGAUGGAGCAGCGCCGCGUGUGUGAUGAAGGGUUUCGGCUCGUAAAACACUGUUGUAAGAGAAGAAUGACAUUGAGAGUAACUGUUCAAUGUGUGACGGUAUCUUACCAGAAAGGAACGGCUAAAUACGUGCUAG
rnacentral:rRNA from 1 species